rnacentral:rRNA from 1 species
UACGGAGGGUGCAAGCGUUAUCCGGAUUCACUGGGUUUAAAGGGUGCGUAGGCGGGUAAGUAAGUCCGUGGUGAAAUCUCUGAGCUUAACUCAGAAACUGCCGUGGAUACUAUUUGCCUUGAAUAUUGUGGAGGUGAGCGGAAUAUGUCAUGUAGCGGUGAAAUGCUUAGAUAUGACAUAGAACACCAAUUGCGAAGGCAGCUCACUACACAAUGAUUGACGCUGAGGCACAAAAGCGUGGGGAUCAAACAGG